GGGGGGGGGUGGGGGGGGGGGGGGCGGAGGCGGGGCGGGCGGGGGGGCCCUGCUGGCAGGGGGCGCGAGUGGCGAAGGGGGGAGUAACACGGGGGUGAUCUGCGCCUGACUUUGGGAUAAGCCUGGGGAACUGGGGCUCAUACUGGAGAGGAGCAUGCUGUGGGUGGGGUGGUGGAGGGAUGGGUUUCGGGGCGGGGGGAGAUCGCGGCCUAUCAGCUGUUUGGGGGGGUAGUGGCCGACCAAGGCGUCGGCGGGUAGCCGGCCUGAGAGGUUGGACGGCAACAUUGGGACUGAGAUACGGCCCAGACUCCUACGGGAGGCAGCAGUGGGGAAUAUUGCACAAUGGGCGCAAGCCUGAUGCAGCGACGCCGCGUGGGGGAUGACGGCCUUCGGGUUGUAAACUCCUUUCAGCCAUGACGAAGCCCUUGUGGUGACGGUAGUGGUAGAAGAAGUACCGGCUAACUACGUG
rnacentral:rRNA from 1 species